rnacentral:rRNA from 1 species
CAGUAGCCGCGGUAAUACGUAGGUGGCAAGCGUUGUCCGGAAUUAUUGGGCGUAAAGGGCUCGCAGGCGGUUUCUUAAGUCUGAUGUGAAAGCCCCCGGCUCAACCGGGGAGGGUCAUUGGAAACUGGGAAACUUGAGUGCAGAAGAGGAGAGUGGAAUUCCACGUGUAACGGUGAAAUGCGUAGAGAUGUGGAGGAACACCAGUGGCGAAGGCGACUCUCUGGUCUGUAACUGACGCUGAGGAGCGAAAGCGUGGGGAGCGAACAGGAUUAGAUACCCCAGUAGUCCCUGUCUCUUAUAA